rnacentral:lncRNA from 1 species
UGGUCCAUCCUUUUGUCACAGCUCCAAACUUUGUCUCUGUAACCCCUUCAAUAGCUGUUUCGUUCCCAGUUCUAAGAAGUGUCCACACUUUGGUGUUCGUUCCUCUUGAGUUUCAUGCGUUUAGCAAAUUGUAUCUUAUAUCUUGGGUAUCCUAAGUUUCUGGGCUAAUAUCCACUUAUCAGGAGUACAUGUGUAUAAGUUCCUUUGUGAUUGGGUUACCUCACUCAGGAUGAUGCCCUCCAGGUCCAUCCAUUUGCCUAGGAAUUUCAUAAAUUCAUUCUUUUUAAUAGCUGAGUAGUACUCCAUGGUGUAAAUGUACCACAUUUUCUGUAUCCAUUCUUCUGUUGAGGGGCAUCUGGGUUCUUUCCAGCUUCUGGCUAUUAUAAAUAAGGCUGCUAUGAACAUAGUGGAGCAUGUGUACUUCUUACCGGUUGGAAUAUCUUCUAGAUAUAUGCCCAGGAGAGGUAUUGCGGAUACUCCAGUAGUACUAUGUCGAUUUUUCUGAGGAACCACCAGACUGAUUUCCAGAGUGGUUGUACAAGUUUGCAAUCCCACCAACAAUGAAGGAUUGUUCCUCUUUCUCCACAUUCUUGCCAGCAUCUGCUGUCACCUGAAUUUUUGAUCUUAGCCAUUCUGACUGGUGUGAGGUGGAAUCUCAGGGAAGUUUUGAUUUGCAUUUCCCUGAUGAUUAAGGAUGUUGAACAUUUUUUUCAGGUGCUUCUCUGCCAUUCGGUAUUCCUCAGGUUAGAAUUCUUUGUUCAUCUCUAAGUCCCUUUUUUAAUGGGGUUAUUUGAUUUUCUGGAGUCCACCUUCUUGAGGUCUUUAUAUAUAUUGGAUAUUAGUCCCCUAUCUGAUUUAGGAUAGGUAGAGAUACUUUCCCAAUCUGUUGGUGGCCUUUUUGUCUUAUUGACGGUGUCUUUUGCCUUACAGAAGCUUUGCAACUUUAUGAGGUCCUAUUUUUCGAUCCUCCAUCUUACAGCACAAGCCAUUGCUAUUCUAUUCAGGAAUUUUUCCCCUGUACCCAUAUCUUCGAUGGUUUCCCCUACUUUCUCCUCUAUAAGUUUCAGUGUCUCUGGUUUUAUGUGGAGUUCCUUAAUCCACUUAGAUUUGACCUUAGUACAAGGAGAUAGGAAUGGAUCAAUUUGCAUUCUUCUACAUGAUAACCACCAGUUGUGCCAGCACUAUUUGCUGAAAAUGCUGUCUUUUUCCACUGGAUGGUUUUAGCUCCCUUGUCAAAGAUCAAGUGAUCUUAGGUGUGUGGGUUCAUCUCUGGGUCUUCAAUUCUGUUCCAUUGGUCUACUUGUCUGUCGCUAUACCAGUACCAUGCAGUUUUUAUCACAAUUGCUCUGUAGUACAGGUUUAGGUCAGGCUUGGUGAUUCCACCAGAGGUUCUUUUAUCCUUGAGAAGAGUUUUUGCUAUCCUAGGUUUUUUGUUAUUCCAGAUGAAUCUGCUGAUUUCCCUUUCUAAUUCGUUGAAGAAUUGAAUUGGAAUUUUGAUGGGGAUUGCAUUGAAUUUGUAGAUUGCUUUUGGCAAGAUAGCCAUUUUUACUAUAUUGAUCCUGCCAAUCCAUGAGCAUAGGAGAUCUUUCCAUCUUCUGAAAUCUUCUUUAAUUUCUUUCUUCAGAGACUUGAAGUUCUUAUCAUACAGAUCUUUCACUUCCUUAGUUAGAGUCAUGCCAAGGCAUUUUAUAUAAUUUGUGACUAUUGAGAUGGGUGUUGUUUCCCUAAUUUCUUUUUUUUUUUUUUUUUUUUGAGACAGGGUUUUUCUGUGUAGCCCUGGCUGUCCUCGAACUCAGAAAUCUGACUGCCUCUGCCUCCGAGUUCUGGGAUUAAAGGUGUGCACCACCACGCCCGGCUGUUGUUUCCCUAAUUUCUUUCUCAGCCUGUUUAUCAUUUGUGUACAGAAAGGCCAUUGACUUGUUUGAGUUAAUUUUAUAUCCAGCUACUUCAUUGAGGUUUUAUCAGGCUUAGGAUUUUUUCUGAUUUUGGUACAGAAUUUAUUUUGAUAGAAAAUCAAGGUUUUCAUUUGUUCAAAUUUCUUCUAUUGUUACAAAACUUUUUACAGUGGAAGGCUUAGAGCCACUUCUUCUAUAGCUGUUGUUAUAAACUGAUCUGAGAUGUUUAAACCUGUGUAUUAAACAGCAAAUUCAUGGCUCUGAGUUUAUUGUUAUGGUGUUUUCAGAUAAUUUAGAUAGAAAUAGCUGGGAGUAGUUAAUGAAAACAGUCCAGAUUACUUUACAUAGAUACUUGGUUUUAUAAAAUACCAGCAAUACACAGAAUGUGACAUCUAAUGUUUUUUUAUUCUUUUGUUGUUGAGACAUAUCUGCUCCUAACAGCUCCCCUUUUGUGGAUUUAAAAGAAGAAAUGGAGCAUCUCUAUCUCUAGGUGACAUAGUGCAUUGUGGCCCAGUAGCCAAUGGACAGAAAUUCCUGUCUCUCCUGCAGACCUGUACCAUCCUUGAGAGGACACAAGUUACAGGAUUGGAGUUCUGCCAAGACAGAAUAAGCUAGUCCUUAGUAAUCCCUGCUUUUCAUGGUCUGUCAGAAUAUCCUGGGCCAGAGGGCUGAAGACUGAUGCUCCAACUUCCUGACCUACUGGGGUUGUAUAUGUAGGCAGCUGUCUCUAAGAUUUGUCUCAGUUCUGGAAGCUGUGUUAGGCUUCCUAUAUUUUCAGAUAGUGUUGGUCAUUUCUGUAUUUCUGACAGGGUUGAGAGGCUACUUACAGUCUCAUAGUCAACACAGGCUAUUGAACAUUGAGAUGAUGUAUUAGAGAAGAUAAUUUUCAGAGAGUAUACAAGCUAAAACAAGACAUAACUUAUGAAUUUAUAUAGUCUUAUAAGUAAGGGUAGAUGACAAGAGUAUUUAAUUGACAAAAAUGAUGGACGGAGUUUUAGUUGUGUCUUGUACUUUAUAAAUUAUGAAAUGGAAAUAGUUGUGCUCAAUUUAUAUCUGAGAUAAAAGAGUUUUGGUUUU